rnacentral:rRNA from 1 species
AUGGGUUUUGGUUACUAUGAUGAUCAGUUUCAGAGUCCAUUGUCUACUAUAUCCUUCAUCAAUAGGUACCUUGAGGAGCUGGACAUUGCUUCUGUUCGGCCGAACCGCGCCACAGCUCCGUCUGUACCGAUAGCUCGGCAACGUGACCCAUCCUGUCAUCAGGCGAAAAUUAACGUGGAUGCAGGAAUCAGAGUUGGCCGGAUAGGCUCUGCAGUCGCAAUCUGUCGCGAUAGCAAUGGAGAGUUUUUGGGCAGUUCAGCGCUGAUCAUAGCAGGGGUGGAUGACCCUGCGACAAUGGAAGCCAUUGCAUGUCGAGAAGCUCUAUGCCUAGCUGAAGAUCUUCAUAUCAGAACGUUUGUCGUAGCUUCUGAUUCCAAAAAAGUGAUUCAAGAUAUCAACAACGGUACUAUGGGACGUUAUGCAGCAAUAGUGAGCGAGAUCAAGUCUGGAGCAACCUCCUUUCAUUGUAAUUUCAUAUUUGAGGGACGUGCGAAUAAUUAUGAGGCAGAUAAUUUAGCUAGAUUUUCCUUAAAUCUCGCUGUAGGAUGUCAUGUGUGGCUCGGCCAGCCCCAUGAUGAAACUUGUAUCCCUCAAUUUGUGGUCUUUGAUGAAUAA